GUCGUCUCCUCCUCCUCCAUCCCAUGUCAGUAGGGCAGUAAACUAGGUCAGUCAUUUUUUUAUUAUUGUUUUUAAGACCCCCGGCAGCAGAAAGAAAGUGAUAAAUCAGCAGAAAGUAAUAUUAGCAAAAGCUGAUACCUUGGGGGCCUGAGUCACUCUGGACAUUCCGGGCCCCUUUAUAAGUGUGGGCUUGUACCCCCCUGAUGGCAGCCCUGUGCCUUCAUACCUGCCCAUUUGUGUUGGGGUGCCUCCUGAGCACCGUUGGCAUUAGGGUUGGUACCCCGGGGUUGUUUCCAGUCUCAGGAGUCUUUUUGGCUUUACCAGCCUUUCUCAACCUUUUACCCCAGAGGAACCCCUUAAAUAAUUUCCAGGUCUCAGGGAACCCCUAGUAAGAUUUGUCCAUUGGUGGGUUGUUGAAAUGCCCCUUACAUUGAUGGUGGUAAAUGGGGGAAAAAAGGCUCCUUUUUAAUGGGGUGGCCAGAUUGAUGACCUUGUCUCUGCCAAAUGGGGUUGGACCAUUUUGGAGGUACCAUUAGAUGGGAGGUCCAGCUAGCCACAGCUCAGGGAACCCCUUGCCACCUCUGAAGGAACCCUAGGGUUCCAUGGAUUAUCGGUUGAUAAUGGCUGGACUAUACCUUGGGAUAAUACACCGUGAGGGUGAUCACCCUCCAUAGAUAUCUCCUGUGAGAUGGUCAUCUGGCCAGGCAGCCUCGUUCUGGUAUCUUCCCUCCCCCGAUGCCAAGGUUGGGGGUGUAAGGCUUGGGCCUUUCACUUCUAAACCAGCUAGUCUCCCCUCAUGGACUGUUUUUUUGUUCAGUGGUCCCUCUGGGGACCUGUUCUCCAGGGGCUGGACCCAUCUGCUUUUUUUUUUUGACCAUGACUAUUUUGUGGAGUUGCCUUGUUCUACCAGUUUUGGUGGUUUCUUGGUCCACAGCCUUUUGCAGGUGAGGGGCUCGGUGCUCCUUCAGAGGAAGCCAUUCCACUUUACUGAUCGGAGCACCAGGUCGGACUUGACCUCCGCUAGUUCAGAUUUGGGGGCGCUAGUUCAGAUUUGGGGGUUGCUCCUCCUAGUAGUCAUGUGUUACAGAUGGCUCCCGUCUUCCUUCUGUCGUGGCCACUGCUGACCCCUCAACUGGACUGCUCUUGGACAAUCCCGGCCGUUUCUGAAUUCCUGUGCCCGUCAAUGGACGAUGGAGAUCGGAAGAUGUUUGUACUUACCUGCAAAUCUUUUUCUUGGAGCGUCCCACCCUUCUGUGGUUUUUGGUGGCCCCGUGUACUGCUCACAAAACUUGAGGCACACCGGGCACAGGGGGUGUUAUGCCGGGGCUGGCUUACAAUGUUACUGUUUGCUGGUGUCUAAACCUCCUGUAAGCGGCAGUAUAACCCAACUGUGGAUGAAUUCCUGUGUCCCAAGAAAAAGAUUUCGGGGUAGGUUCAAAAAAAAUAAUCUUUAUUUAGCCUAUAAUAUAAGAGGACCAAUGAAAGUAUCGCAGGCGUGGAUCAGUACAGGGAGGCCCCGCCCCUUCAGGACUGAUUUCUAUAAUAUAAAAGGACCAAUGAAAGAAUCGCAGGCGUGGAUCAGUGCAGGGAGGCCCCGCCCCUUCAGGACUGAUUCCUAUAAUAUAAAAGGACCAAUGAAAGUAUCACAGGUGUAGAUCAGUGCGGAGAGGCCACACCCCUUCAGGACUGACUCCGCCCCCCAUAUAACAGAAUGAAUGGACGCUCGAGACAGGAACAUUCGGUGGAUCCCAAUUCAGAGUCUAGAAUGUCGGUCUACAUGACCAGGUGGGAGAUAUCUCCCCAUAUAAUUAGAAGGAUGGGAGUUGUAGUCUCAUGAUCAGAGCAGAGGAUUCUGGGAAGACGUCUUUUAUGGCCGAUUCCUGGAUCUGAUCUCUGACUGUGAAGGUCUAAUGGUAAAAAAAAGGGCUCAUUUUCUGCCUGCAGGAGGCGAUCAGAUAAUGUACCAAACCCAUCACACAACCAAUGAAUGAAGGACCAAUGUGAGGCGCAUGUGUAUGGAGGGAAGGGCCUGUUUUGCUGUCUGUGCCCCCAGGGAGGAGAUGUUGUUGUCCCCGCACCUCUGUUUUGGACAGAAUGGGGCACAAAGAAAACCUCUAAUAAGGUCACAGACAGAAAUCGUAUUUCUCUCUCCCAUGCUAUCCAAAAUUUAAAGCUGAACACCACCUAAAAACGGAAUAGCCCUUUAAAACCUAAUAAAUGUGUUUGCUGCAAUACUUACAUUCAAUCCUGAGCUGCUCCCCACAGUAUCACAUUUCUGCCACUAGAUGUCCUCAGUUUUCAGGGUUGAAUGACAUCCAGCGUCAUCCAACCAAGGAGUUCUGAGGCGGUCACGGACCGCCAACCAAUCUGUAAUUGGACAGUGAAAGGAGAAGAAGCAGACUGAUGAGGUCAUCUCUCUGCUCUCACAGGUUCAGCUUUAAAAACAAUUGGCUAGCAUUGGGCUUUAACCACCAUGUGCUGCUAACAAGGAAACAAACAGAGAGUGGUUAAGUCAGUCAGGAGCAAGCGAUCGCCCUUGACGCUCCGCCCACAACCGAACGAUAGUGGCGAGAUCUCCCCCACAGCCCCCUCCGUGUCCCCGUAUAACAAUUCUAUAUAUUCUCUUCACCGGACAUCCAACUGAUGGAUCAUUGUAACCCGAAACGGAAUCCAGUUGUGGCCGGAGUGAGAGCCAAGACCUCCAUCCAGACAAACCAAGUCUACAAAUGUCCCCCUUUCGCUUUUUCCUUCCUUGUGAUGCCCCCGAGAGCUCUACAAGGAUUCUCCGAAUGAACCCUAAACAACCCCCCCCCCCCCAAUGGCCAGAGCUUCAUCAUUGCUUGGUGGUAAGUACUUUUCCUGAAAGAUCGGCUGUGUCAGGAGGGAGGACAUUGCAUCUCGGCAAUUUGAUGGCCUCCAUUUUUGCUUUCACUUCAUUCCACCCAAAAUCUGAUUCUUCUCUGGUGUAUGGGGGGAACUAAACUCUUCUCUGUGAUUGGUUACCCUAACUCUGAUCUGGUUAGUAGUAGGUGGUCACAUCCAGCUGGACGUGUUCUGUAAUGUUCAAGACAUUUUGUAGAUUAUCCAAGGCACUUCUUCAGUUCUGAGGGACGGGAAGAUCCCUGAAUAUUUAUACCCACCCUGGUAGACCCCUUCAUCCAAUGACCAUGGAAUGUGUCAUGGCAGAUGUUGUUUGUCCAAGAGCAGGUGGAGGUGUGAAAGUUGUGCUCCCACCUUGUUCUAGUUAUAUCACCCCAUCCUUGGCAUCAGGAGGUCUGCAGAGGUGUCAUUCCUUCCAUUCACAGGACU